rnacentral:rRNA from 1 species
CCUACGGGAGGCAGCAGUGAGGAAUAUUGGUCAAUGGGCUUACGCCUGAACCAGCCAAGUCGCGUGAGGGAAGACUGCCCUAUGGGUUGUAAACCUCUUUUGUCAGGGAGCAAUUGGCGCUACGUGUAGCGUUAUCGAGAGUACCUGAAGAAAAAGCAUCGGCUAACUCCGUGCCAGCAGCCGCGGUAAUACGGAGGAUGCGAGCGUUAUUCGGAUUUAUUGGGUUUAAAGGGUGCGUAGGUGGUUAAUUAAGUCAGCGGUGAAAGUUUGUGGCUCAACCAUAAAAUUGCCGUUGAAACUGGUUGACUUGAGUAGAUUUGAGGUAGGCGGAAUGCGUGGUGUAGCGGUGAAAUUCAUAGAUAUCACGCAGAACUCCGAUUGCGAAGGCAGCUUACUAAACUAUAACUGACACUGAAGCACGAAAGCGUGGGGAUCAAACAGGAUUAGAUACCCGAGUAGUC